CGGCGAACGGGUGCGUAACACGUGAGGAACCUGCCCCGAAGACUGGGAUAGCCCGAGGAAACUCGGAUUAAUACCGGAUACCCUCUUUGGACCACAUGGUCUGUUGAGGAAAUGGUCCGCUGCUUCGGGAUGGCCUCGCGGCCUAUCAGCUUGUUGGUGAGGUAAUGGCUCACCAAGGCAAAGACGGGUAGCUGGUCUGAGAGGACGAUCAGCCACACUGGGACUGAGACACGGCCCAGACUCCUACGGGAGGCAGCAGCAGGGAAUAUUGCACAAUGGGCGAAAGCCUGAUGCAGCGACACCGCGUGCGGGAUGAAGGCCUUCGGGUUGUAAACCGCUUUCAGGAGGGACGAAAAUGACGGUACCUCCAGAAGAAGGCCCGGCCAACUACGUGCCAGCAGCCGCGGUAAUACGUAGGGGCCAAACGUUGUCCGGAUUUAUUGGGCGUAAAGGGCUCGUAGGCGGUUCAACAAGUCGGUCGUGAAAAGCCCGGGGCUCAACCCCGGGACGCCGGUCGAAAACUGUUGUGACUAGGGUCCGGUAGAGGUGAGUGGAAUUCUCGGUGUAGCGGUGGAAUGCGCAGAUAUCGAGAGGAACACCAGUAGCGAAGGCGGCUCACUGGGCCGGUACCGACGCUGAGGAGCGAAAGCAUGGGGAGCAAACAGGAUUAGAUACCCUGGUAGUCCACGCCGUAAACGAUGGGUACUAGGUGUUGC
rnacentral:rRNA from 1 species